AUUUGGAGAGGAUGCUUUUGGCGCGGCGCCUUCCGAGUUCCUUGGAACAGGACGCCAUAGAGGGUGAGAGCCCCGUACGGUCGGACGCCUAGCCUAUACAAAGCUCNUUCGACGAGUCGAGUAGUUUGGGAAUGCUGCUCAAAAUGGGAGGUAAAUUUCUUCUAAAGCUAAAUACCGGCCAGAGACCGAUAGCGCACAAGUAGAGUGAUCGAAAGAUGAAAAGCACUUUGAAAAGAGAGUUAAACAGUACGUGAAAUUGUUGAAAGGGAAGCGCCUGUGACCAGACUUGCGCCCUACGGACCACCCAGCGUUCUCGCUGGUGCACUCUGCAGGGCGCAGGCCAGCAUCGGUUCUCCCAGGGGGAUAAAGGCCGCAGGAACGUAGCUCUUUCGGGAGUGUUAUAGCCUGUGGUGCCAUGCCUCUGAGGGGACCGAGGACCGCGCUUCGGCAAGGAUGCUGGCGUAAUGGUCACUAGCGACCCGUCUUGAAACACGGACCAAGGAGUCAAGCAUUGGGGCGAGUGUCUGGGUGCCAAACCCGCACGCGAAAUGAAAGUAAACGUAGGUGAGAGCUUCGGCGCAUCAUCGACCGAUCCUGAUGUAUUCGGAUGGAUUUGAGUAAGAGCCUUACCGCUUGGACCCGAAAGAUGGUGAACUAUGCCUGUAUAGGGUGAAGCCAGAGGAAACUCUGGUGGAGG
rnacentral:rRNA from 1 species